CACAAUAUGUUAGCACUCUUUUGUGCUGUAAACCUAGUAGGCACACUAUCAUGAUAGCUGGAGAUGACAUUUUUUGGUAAGAACGUGCCUAUUCACUCCUCACAUCAUGAUUUCCAGAUUCUCCCUCAGAUUUAUACUGCAGCUCUGAAGCUCUUCAGUGAAAUAUGCUUAAAGUCUUGCUCAUACCUCCCUGGAGCUACACACUGGAGAGCACAGCCGUGUGUGCUGCACAGCUUGGGUACCAGAGCAGAUGCUUCUGCACUGACUGUUCAUGUGGAAGACAGAAUACGGCAGCUGAUGCAUUUAUCUCCUUUAUUUUGUGCGACUCAGGCACAAAGGGGUUUUCUCACCAAACUGAUCACAGGAUGACAGUAUGAAUAACAAAGUAUGCUUUUGCACUGUCUCCACUGCUGAAGAUAAAUUGUAAAAAUCAUUCUCAUGUUGCAGGAUUUUCACAAGUACCCCCAAAUGUUAUUUUCUGAAGAAAUGAAACCAUGUGGCUUUGCCAGAUUUUUGAUGGAAUUACCAGCAUGCCAAUUCCCAGUCCAAACACACUGAGCCAAUUAUAUCUCCAAGAAGUCACCAGAAGAAACCUCCUGAAAGUCCCAAGCAGCUUUAUGUUAGUGGAAAUGCAUUCAAGAGUAAGGAAAAGCAGUUGGAUUAUACCAGCAAAUACCUCAGGAAGGCAGAACUAAUUGCUUCAAUUAUUACUGGAGAGCCAGCAGUUCUCAGACUCUUGCUACACAAUACUAUACAUGUGACAUUCUGAUGUUGCUUCAGGAACUGAAUCUCAAUCCCAAGGGUGUUGCUCAAAGGACCACUGGAAAGGUCAGAAAGCGAACCUCUGAGACACGACAGAACUCUGUAGAGAAGUUUUUGGUAUUCAGUACAUGGACUGGAUGGCAUU